UUGACCUCAAAUCAGGUAGGACUACCCGCUGAACUUAAGCAUAUCAAUAAGCGGAGGAAAAGAAACUAACAAGGAUUCCCCUAGUAACUGCNNNUGAAGCGGGAAAAGCUCAAAUUUAAAAUCUGGUAGUCUUUGGCUGCCCGAGU
rnacentral:rRNA from 1 species